GGACGACGUCGCUUUUGAUGCAGCAGCAGCGCCGCCGACCGCCAGCGUUCCAGAGGACGUCUGAAGAGAGAGAAACAGAGCGUUAGGUUCUCAUCAGAGGUGUCAGGAUUUAGACUCUACAUUUGUCUCCCAGGUCCAGAGAGAAGCAGCUGUGUUCCCUGCAGGACGGGUUCGCUGACCCACACACUCACCACGGUUCUGCUGCUGGAGGCAGCCAUCACAGCCGAACCUCGUUGACCAGUUUGACCUGGUGUUGGCAGCAGGAGGACGGUUAGCUCGCCUCCAACAUCCUCAGUCUGCUGGAGGCUGACUUAGGGACCGACAAUAAAUGGUAAA